rnacentral:lncRNA from 1 species
GGAGGGUAUGGAUUCGAUCGACAUGAAUCGAUCGAAAAAUGAAAACGUGAAUCGAUCGACAUGAAUCGAUCGACACCGAUUCGAUCGACAAAUUGUUAAAAAACCGAUGUCGAUUCGAUCGGCAAAUGAAAACGUGAAUCGAUCGACACCGAUUCGAUUGACAACCGUGAAUCAAUCGACAAAUCCGUGAGUCGAUCGACAAACCCGUGAGUCGAUCGACAAAAGCCGUGAGUCGAUCGACAAAACCGUGAGUCGAUCGACAAACCCGUGAGUCGAUCGACAAAUCCGUGAGUCGAUCGACAAACCCCGAUUCAUGUCGAUCGAUUCACGUUUUCAUUUUUCGAUCGAUUCAUGUCGAUCGAAUCCAUACCCUCCAAACUACUCAACGGUGAUUCUUUAAGACUGCCGUGAUUUUUCUUCUCUGUCCGAAGAAAAUUCUGCAAAACUUCAAGGAAUGAUGUCAAUUUGUUCUCCUUUAAAAAAAUAACUUACAGGCGGAGAUUUUCAGACACCGCAAACGAGAUAUGCGAUUGCGGACUUACGCCAUUGACAUGCUCUUUGACAUCAUAUGUAUAUAGAUUCGCAAUUACCGAUUUGACCUGAGACGAACUUUGUCUUUUGUAUGUACUUAUUUGUCCUAUGAUUUUACACUUGGAGUAAAAUGUGUGUUUUGUUUUUUGUCCUAGACGAAGCUGGCGAAGAGGACAGCGAUGAGGACAUGAUCACGGACUACUUGAUGAUGGCCGAUCCGCGAGUGGAGGCCCCGAACAAAGAAGCGAGCUCCAGGUCGGGUCCCAGCCCCCUGGUCCCCAUCAUCAGCGUCACCCCUCACUCUCCCGCCGGAAAACAUUACCCCAUACUAGAAGACAAUAUACAGCAGCUUCAUGACAUCCAUGAAAGUAUCCAACGUAUGCGUGAUGUUAGCGCUCUCAUGCUCAACCAACAGCAGCAAAAUUCCAGAUUAUUUGCAUCUUGUCCAUCACUUAACGACGGGCAAGAUUCCUCUGAUCCUGAUCUCCUAUCUAGGCUUCAGUCUCCUCCAAUCAACCGUCACAACCAAAGCUUUCUCUCAAUGCCCCAGCCUACUCAGACUCACUACGGCAAAAAAGUAAGUUAUACUCUUGGUCUUUCGUUAAUCUGUUUCAGUGCUCAAUAAUUAAAAUUGAUUGAUAGGAUAGAAAAUUGACUUAAAUUUAAGGAGUUUAAGGA